GUGGGGAAUCUUGCGCAAUGGGCGAAAGCCUGACGCAGCCAUGCCGCGUGAAUGAUGAAGGUCUUAGGAUUGUAAAAUUCUUUCACCGGGGACGAUAAUGACGGUACCCGGAGAAGAAGCUCCGGCUAACUUCGUGCCAGCAGCCGCGGUAAUACGAAGGGGGCUAGCGUUGCUCGGAAUUACUGGGCGUAAAGGGCGCGUAGGCGGACAGCUUAGUCAGAGGUGAAAGCCCAGGGCUCAACCUUGGAAUUGCCUUUGAUACUGGCUGUCUUGAGUUUGGGAGAGGUGAGUGGAACUCCGAGUGUAGAGGUGAAAUUCGUAGAUAUUCGGAAGAACACCAGUGGCGAAGGUGACUCACUGGCCCAAUACUGACGCUGAGGCGCGAAAGCGUGGGGAGCAAACAGGAUUAGAAACCCGGGUAGUCC
rnacentral:rRNA from 1 species